ensembl:lncRNA
GGGCUCUAUUCUUGGAAGUUGUACUGAUGUUAUUCUGUUAUUGUCCAGUUCACUAUUGGUCAUAGUGUAGGAGUUCCUUAGUGGUUAAAUCCUAGUCACAUCAUUGGAGGAAUAAUGUAAUGAUUACGAUAAACAAACAAUUUUUAUACAUUCCCAUAUGGCCAUUGGCCAGUGGGGUAAACUAUCUCUCAUUGGACUCUUCAUACAGUAUAUUGUUUAUUAAAACAUGUCCAUGCUAGGUACUGUAGAUACUAGGCUUCCCUACUCAUGCUAGGUACUGUAGAUACUACUAGGCUUCCCUACUCAUGCUAGGUACUGUAGAUACUACUAGGCUUCCCUACUCAUGCUAGGUACUGUAGAUACUAGGCUUCCCUACUCAUGCUAGGUACUGUAGAUACUA